rnacentral:rRNA from 1 species
GUAGGUGGCAAGCGUUGUCCGGAAUUAUUGGGCGUAAAGCGCGCGCGGGCGGUCCUUUAAGUCUGAUGUGAAAGCCCACGGGCUCAACCGUGGAGGGUCAUUGGAAACUGGGGGACUUGAGUACAGAAGAGGAAAGCGGAAUUCCAAGUGUAGCGGUGAAAUGCGUAGAGAUUUGGAGGAACACCAGUGGCGAAGGCGGCUUUCUGGUCUGUAACUGACGCUGAGGCGCGAAAGCGUGGGGAGCAAACAGGAUUAGAUACCCUGGUAGUCCACGCCGUAAACGAUGAGUGCUAAGUGUUAGGGGGUUUCCGCCCCUUAGUGCUGCAGCUAACGCAUUAAGCACUCCGCCUGGGGAGUACGGCCGCAAAGGCUGA